GGAAUAAAAUUGGUUUUAUCGCGACUUAUUAAUUUUUCGCCAAUAAUAUAUAUUCUUCAUGUUAUUCAAAAGAACGUGGCUUUUUCUUCUAAUAUUACUAAUUGCGAUUAUUAGCCAAAAUGUGGAAAGUAAUAGAGAAGAUUUGGAUACCCAAUCUCGCAGAAACUUUUUUAAAGACAUCGAAAACUUUUUCUCUCGGCUCUUUAGACCCAAUAAGAAGCCGUAUAAACAAAACACACCGAAAGCAAAGACAACUAAAAACUUUCAAAAAAUCACUAUAAAAAUUCACGGUAAAAAUUUACGACCUGCGAUGGAUUCUAACGUCAUCUCGUUAAGAAACAAUCAAA